rnacentral:rRNA from 1 species
ACAUGCAAGUCGAACGAAGUAGCAAUACUUAGUGGCAGACGGGUGAGUAACAUGUAGGUAUCUACCCUAUGGUGAAGAAUAACACGAGGAAACCUGUGCUAAUACUUCAUAAGUCUUUACGGAGAAAGCUUUAUGCGCCAUUGGAUGAGCCUGCACUUGAUUAGUUUGUUGGUGGGGUAAUGGCCUACCAAGACUUUGAUCAAUAGCUGAUUUGAGAGGAUGAUCAGCCACAUUGGGACUGAGACACGGCCCAAACUCCUACGGGAGGCAGCAGUAGGGAAUCUUGCACAAUGGGGGAAACCCUGAUGCAGCGAUGCCGCGUGAGUGAAGAAGGCCUUUGGGUUGUAAAGCUCUUUCGUCGGGGAAGAAAAUGACUGUACCCGAAUAAGAAGGUCCGGCUAACUUCGUGCCAGCAGCCGCGGUAAUACGAAGGGACCUAGCGUAGUUCGGAAUUACUGGGCUUAAAGAGUUCGUAGGUUGUUAAAAAAGUUGGUGGUGAAAUCCCAGAGCUUAACUCUGGAACUGCCAUCAAAACUUUUUAGCUAGAGUAUGAUAGAGGAAAGCAGAAUUUCUAGUGUAGAGGUGAAAUUCGUAGAUAUUAGAAAGAAUACCGAUUGCGAAGGCAGCUUUCUGGAUCAUUACUGACACUGAGGAACGAAAGCAUGGGUAGCGAAGAGGAUUAGAUACCCUCGUAGUCCAUGCCGUAAACGAUGUGUGUUAGACGUUGGAAAUUUUUUUUCAGUGUCGCAGCGAAAGCAAUAAACACACCGCCUGGGGAGUACGACCGCAAGGUUAAAACUCAAAUGAAUUGACGGGGACCCGCACAAGUAGUGGAGCAUGUGGUUUAAUUCGAAGAUACGCGCAGAACCUUACCAACACUUGACAUGUUCGUCGCGACUUUAAGAGAUUAAAGUUUUCGGUUCGGCCGGACGAAACACAGGUGCUGCAUGGCUGUCGUCAGCUCGUGU